rnacentral:rRNA from 1 species
UACGGAGGAUGCGAGCGUUAUCCGGAUUUAUUGGGUUUAAAGGGUGCGUAGGCGGGCUUUUAAGUCAGCGGUAAAAAUUUGGGGCUCAACCCUGUCCGGCCGUUGAAACUGGGGGCCUUGAGUGGGCGAGAAGAAGGCGGAAUGCGUGGUGUAGCGGUGAAAUGCAUAGAUAUCACGCAGAACCCCGAUUGCGAAGGCAGCCUUCCGGCGCCCUACUGACGCUGAGGCACGAAAGUGCGGGGAUCGAACAGG